rnacentral:rRNA from 1 species
UACCUGGACUCAGACGUGAACGCUGGCGGCGUGCGUUAACACAGUGCAAGUCGAACGGGGCCGUACCAUUUUUGAAGUCGAUUUAGGCUUGCUAAGAGUGGAAAUGUUGGCGGCUUAGUGGCGGACGGGUGAGUAACGCUGGGUAACCUGCCUUGCACUGGGGGAUAACACUUAGAAUAGGUGCUAAUACCGCAUAAGCGCACGGAGCUGCAUGGCUCAGUGUGAAAAACUCCGGUGGUGCAAGAUGGACCCGCGUCUGAUUAGCUUGUUGGCGGGGUAACGGCCCACCAAGGCGACGAUCAGUAGCCGGCCUGAGAGGGUGGACGGCCACAUUGGGACUGAGACACGGCCCAAACUCCUACGGGAGGCAGCAGUGGGGAAUAUUGGACAAUGGGGGAACCCUGAUCCAGCGACGCCGCGUGAGUGAAGAAGUAUCUCGGCAUGUAAAGCUCUAUCAGCAGGGAAGAAAGAAAUGACGGUACCUGACCAAGAAGCCCCGGCUAACUACGUG